GGUAGAUGGAGCUUGGGCUGAAUCUCCCUGUGAAGCAUAGCUCGCAGUGUGGCCCUCUUGUGCUGGGUUACUGCCACUACCAUAGCCAGUAACGGAGCCAUAGCCUUGCUGCUGAUCAUAUGUUGGUGGUUGUCCAUACCCUGAUUGAGAUUGUGCAUUAUAUGCAUUAUAGCUGUCCUGAGCAUAACCCUGUCCGGGUUGGCUAUAACCAGAAGAAGGUGGUUGACUAUAAUUGUAUGCAGAGCCAUCAGCUGGAGGUGCAGGACCUCCAGGAUUUUGUGGUUGCUGUGGCUGUUGACUAUAGUAAUCAUAGCCACCAGCAUGAGUUGACUGUUGGUGAGAUGGUGCAGAAGACUGGUCCCAAUUGGUGGAAUAUCCACCUGGUUGUUGGGGAGGAUAGCCCGAAUAUUGUUGCUGAGGCAUGUUAUACUGAGGUGAUGGACCAGAAUAUGCUCCAGGUUGCACAUAUCCAUAACCAGGUUGCUGCAUUGGUGCAGGGGGGGCCCAGUUAGAGGGUGGUCGAGAUUGGUAACCUUGCUGAGGAUACCCACCAGACAUUGAAGGAUUUCUAAGACGAUUCUGUGGAUUCAAAUUGAAAACCAAAAUAAAGGGAGUGAGUUCACCCAAAUUUCCACACAAGACAAGUAUAGGAAGCAACAUAUGCACACAUACACAGGUUAAACUUACAAAUGCAAAAAUCAACAUGUAAUGAACACGAGAUAAAGGGUAUAUAUAUUAUCUUGCAUUAACGGGUUGCAUACAUGAUCAGAAAGGGAUACGAAUACCUACAUACCGUACUGGUUCGUGAUAAAACUGAGUUACUCCAGCAGAAGCACACCCUUUCCCUAUUCGAAUUGAAUGGGUACAAAAGAAAGCACAGACCAUAGAAGCAAACAAUCAUUCAAUAUUUAUUGCCUUGAAAAGGCAAUCCAUCAUAUAGUAUAUCAAUAUGCAAUAUCUUACUCCAAUUGUUACACUAUACAAUAUAUCAUUCAUAUUCAUAUUAAUUCAACAAGAGUGACUGGACUACAGAUAUUUCACACCCUAUUAAGAUGAAUGCGCAACUCCAAAUUCAAAUAUACAGACUGUUGAAACAACUUUUCUGUGCUCCCAUGUACAUUCUCUCAUCCUUUGUACAACCCAUUCUAAUAGUCCAACCUCGGGAUCAUCAGUUAAAAACAAUAAAAUUAAAUAUUAUUUUAAUGGAACAUGAAUUAGAAAGAAAAGAAAAAUAAUUGAAUGAGGCAGAACAGAAGUGGCACAAAAUGUAUAACAGACAAAUCUUAAUAGAAAUCUUAAACAUAACUGGUUAGUUAAGAAAACUAUUUAACACUGGACAAGAAUAAUAAAACUGGACAAGAAUAAUAGUAUAGGGAAAAUAAUUAAAGUGCUGAACGACGGACAAAUUUCAGGUUACCUAUGCCAAAUGUAAGUCCAGUAUAAGAUACGAGGAUAAAAUACUACUCCAAGUACACUAAGGUUCUUUUUAGAAAUAAACUGAAAAGCACAAGAGACCUAGUUGAAAACUAUUUCAACAUAAUUCAACAUUGAGUCUAAUAAUGACACUAUAGUCAAAAAGUAUUAGUAGGAGACUUACUGCCCUUGAUAAUAAAUAUCAAAACUGAGAUUUAGAACCAUACCAGGGCAUGCUGAGGGAACACCAACAAAAGGAUUCAUGUUGGUGUCACCAAUGGUCCAAUAGACACUAACCCUACAACAGUCCCAAUAACAAUAUCAGUCAUAGGAUACACAAUUAAUAAGCAUAUUCCACUGUCGAAAGGUUAUAAUCUCAAUGAGUAUCCAUCUGGCCCAAAAAUAUUUCAUAAUAACAGUAGCCUUCAGAGCACCAGGAAUCUAAACCAACAAAAACAAUGAAAGACGCACCUCACCAAAGCACUGGGCUAAGUGAAAAACACAAUUAAAAUACGGUCUUUGUAAAUAUAUGGUAUCUUGGUCAAGAAAACUGACAGGCCAAUUCUAAAAUAUUGCUACCAACGUCCUUGAUUCGUGGAUGUAUAAAAGAGAUAAUGGCUAAGACGUAUUAGCUAAUUAUAUAGAGCAGACUACACAUACACAAACAUAAAGACACAGUUGACAAGUCAGACCCUGAAAGUUCAUCAUGACCAUCACCUAAUCCUAGACUAAACAUAAAGGAAGAUGCGUAUUGCUAAUAUAUCAAGACUGUUAAUCGAACAAGAUACCAUACAAUUGUUAACAACAUUAUACAGCUAAUAAUUGAUGGCUAUAGCAGUGAACGGUCUCACUAAUCAUGUUUCCACUUGGCCAGCUGACGCAACAACACUGAGGAGUUGGAGAUUACAAGCAAGAACAUCGUAACAGCCAUUAGUCUUCUACCUUUGUGCAUUAUUUUGCAUAAGUCUUGAAACACUUGCACAAUAUGAAAAUAUGUACUAAUUUUCUUUUGAGAACAAUACAGUAGGUAACAGAGAUCCGAAUAAUAUUAAUGUAUCAUAUAAUAAAGACCACUUGUUAAAGGCACAUUAGGCUCUGAAAAAAUUUCUACUUCCUUAAACAUACUCUAUCAUCUAAGCUGCUUUGGAAGAGAGAUCAAUGCAUCCCGAAUAUGCAUCAAGUUACUAAUAAUUGUCAUACAGCUAAGCUGCUUCGGUCCAGAUCAAAACAUCAAUAAUAUACAAUGUAUAAUAAUGGUCACAGUGUUAUGCUGUAUCAAUAAUAAGAUCAAGGAAUUAAUUAAUAUGAACAGAAUAAAUGUCAUUUAUGCAAAACUAAAGUGAAAACCAUCACAUGAUUUACCAAAACUAUUUUUUCCCUGCAAAGGAACAAAUCGGAGAGUACAAAAAUCAUGUAUCAUGUUACAGGAAUCAAUCAGAUCUAACUUUAUAUUUUAAUAUCAUAAAAAAUAAAAAGACCCAACAGGCAAUGACAAGCACACCGUAUUCAUCUCACAAUAACAUAAAGCUUGCACGUAAAUCAACCUAGUUUGAUCAAACAGUCUAGAUGAUAAAUAGAUUGUGCAACAUACAGAGUACAAAACCCAGUAGAAAAACAGCAAUUUUAAACACUAGACUAGACUUGGCCUUACCAGGCAGAUAUGCCUAAGCCAAAUCUGGCAAAAAGAAGCACCAUUAACAUACCUCGCCACUGAUGAUUUGAUUAACCAACUCCUUUGCAGACUCAAUUUGCUCAGGUGUCCCAUCAACUUUUAAUGUUCUUUCAGUUGAUGUGUCACCUGGAGGAAGAUGCAGAGGUAUCACCUGAAAAAACAUAUAAACAUUAGCCAAAAGUCAUAAAAGUUGGCCGUUAACACAAUCUCUUUUCAAAUUAGUUGCAAUCACAAAGCUACGGUAAAAAAAAACAUAACAACAAGGCUACACUAACUAUGAUUUAUCACCGAUAUCUAAUACACAAAUAAGAGAACAGCGUUCUAUAUAUCACUUAUAAGUACAAACCUGAAUCCGUGCUCCUGUAGAAGCUUGCAUAUUCUUUAUAGUUUCUCCUCCUUUGCCAAUUAUAAGGCCAACCUGAAGAUGCACACGAUAAACAUAUCAACCCAAAGAGAUAGAAAAAAACAGAUCUGAACACGGAAAUUACGCAUGACAUUGUACAAAGCAUACACUCAUAUCUCCCUUUCACACCUUAUUAUUUGGAAUUCUCAUGACAAAUUCAUCUGACCCAGCUUGUCCAGUCAGUCUUCGAGCAACAAUGCCAGAACCUCCAGAUUCAGCCUGGUACAACAACAGUUGUCAUCGUAUAUAUUGCAAUAAUUAAACAUGUGAGAAAUUUAUCAAGAAACAGACCUCCUUCGUAAGAUUAUCGUAACGUCAAAUCUAUGAUAAACGAAAUUUAAUACAUACAUGAUUCACAGAAAAAAAAAUAGUAUAAAAUGUGAUUAACCUCAGCAAGAACUUCAUUUAUGAGUUUCUCCGCAGAAGCAAUUGCCUCGGGAGUGCCCAUAAGCUCAACCGUUCUUGAAGUAGAAUUAGGGUCGGCGUCCAUAUCGCGAGUAACUUGAAUUUUAGCACCAGACUGCAACUGGAGAUACUUAAUAGUCUCUCCACCUUUGCCAAUAAUCACACCAACCCUGCCGUUAGGGAUAUCGAUCUUCUUGCUCGUUCCUUGGUGACUGUAGGAGACGGGAGGAACGGCUGAGUACUGAGGCUUCGCAUCUACGUUCACGGAAAACAGAGUUUAUAAAACCCUAACCUAAACGAGAAGAAUAGUGGAGCAGAGGGGAUAGCUAGUUACCGUAAGAAUCGAAGCCGGAGGUAGGAGCGCCGUUAUCGGGUUUGGCACGCUUGGCGUCGAGCGGGGGAGGAGGAGCAACGCUGAGGAGGCGAGUGGCGACUUCUUGAGCACGCUGCUUGGCAAGCUCGAUGCCGGUAGCGGGGCCGGCGGAGAAGCCGGUGGGUCUAUCGGAGGAUUGGUCUUCAUACUUGCGUUUGAGGGGCGUAGAGUCGUUGGGAGAUGAAUAGUGGGCUUCGUCCGCCAUUGGCACAAACCCUAAAGACGUUAGGUGUGUAAGAGAGGGUGGUGAUGUUAUUUAUAAUAUAUAGUGGUGGCUAGUGUGACCCCUACCAUGGGUGGGGCAGGGUAGAAAAAAAGGAGAUAUUUUGCAUCCCUUCGCUUGAGGCACCUUUACGUCAUUCAUACAAUUAUACAGAUAAAACUAUUUUUAUCUCUAUUUUUCUAUCUAUCAUCUUAUUAUUUUUAAUUUUUCUAUCUAUUUUUUAUUUUUAAGAUUUUAUAUUUAAGAUAAACAUUUUGAUAUUAUCGGUGUAUCUACUACUAAUUAAUAUUAAUUAACUUUUAAUUUUUUAUAAUUAUAUCUUGUGUUUUUAUUUAAAAUUAACAUGAUUACAUCAUCAAUAAUAAUAAAAAUAAAACUAAUUUAUGUUUAUAGAUUCAACUUUUAUGUUAUUGUAGGGUUUAAUUUUUUAUUUUCUUCAUUUUUAAAAAAUUAAACUAAACAUUUUUAAUUUACUACUUUUUUAUUUUUAUUUUGUAAAAAAUCAUUUUUUUAUUUAUUAAUUAUAUUUCUAACUAUUUAAAACAUUAAAUUAUUUUUUUAAUGCAUUCAAAAAUAAAAUUAUCAAAAAAAUUAAUUUAUUAAUUUUAAUUUUUUUACUUUUGAAAUGGUGUUAGAUAGGGAUAUAAAAAUAAAAGAGUGUUAGGUAAGAAAAUAAAGACAAGUGCGGGAAAAUAAAAAUGUAAAUAGUGUUGUUAUAUGAGGGAUUGAAUCUACAAUUCUCACUUCAUUUCAACUUUUUCGCUGUUUCUUUAAUCAAUAUUUUUUAAUAAUAUUCAUACAAAAAUAAAGGUAAUUUUUUAAUGAUAUGUUUUUUUAUUAACAAUGAUAUAUUUUAUUAAAUAAGAGUUUAUUUGCGAUAUUUUUUGUAAACUUUAUUCGGUUAAAUUGAAAAAAUUAGUAUUGAGUGACUUUUUAUGGAUUUUUAAAAUUAAAAAAAAAAAUAAAGAAGCCUAUAGGAUAAAAAUAAAUAUGUUGCUUAUGGAUUCAGUUGAAAUUAUCUUAAAGAGAAACUUUAUUUGAAUUAGUUAUAAUAAGUUUAUUUAAUUAAUGUAUUAGUAUAUUAACAAUUACCAUAUACAAUUUAGAUAUUGGCAUUCUCAUUAGUAUUUUUUUAAUAUUUUUUACCGUGAGAUCAUACAACUGAUGUAAUGGUCAAGGUUAACGGCCCCACGACCGAUAGUUCAAGUCCAGUUAUGCUCAAUCAAGGUCGACGAAGUUAAUUCGUGAUUAGGAGUCAAGUAAUGCAUCCCUAAGCAUGAUUCAGCCCCUUAACCCGACCCAAUAAAAAAAGUCAAUCAAAGAUAAUAUAAGAUUUGAUUCAAAUAUUAUAUGUGAAACUAAUAUAAGAUUUGAUUAAAAUAUUAUAUGUAAGACUAAUACAAGAUUUAUAAAUAAAAUUUAUGAACUCGACUUUAUAAAUAGAUUAAUUAUAUAUAUACUAAUAGAUGUGAACAUACAUAUUUAAAAUUAUAUAUGACUUUAACUAAAUAUUUAUUUAUUAAAAGUAUUUAUUAUUCUAGCUGAAUCCUGAUAUCGAACAACUUUUUACAAAUACUCCACACGUAUUUAGUACCAAGACUUCUUUGAUACUCUCUGUUUGAAUUGAGGUGGAAAUUUGUGAGGAAGGGAGAUAGUGAAUUGAAGAAGAUUAUGGGGAAUGUGUGAUGUUGUUUGGAUUGAGGGAUGAUAGAGUGGAUUUGUUAUGAUUGUUUAUUAAAAUUUGUAAGUGAUGAGAUAGUUAUGACAUAAUUUAGAAAUUAUUUUAAAGGUGUAAAAUGCAAAUUUACAAAUUUAUCUUUGUCAUUAAAAAAUAUUUUAAUAAUGAGUUAGGUUUUUUUUUUUUGUAAGUUUGAGUUAAUUUUUUUUCUAAUAUAUAAUAUUCAUAAUUACUCUUAUUUUGUAAUACAAAAUAAUUCCGUGUUAAAUUAAAAAAAUAUAUUAAAUAUAUUAAAAUUUAUGAAAAUAAUAUUUAUUAUUAUAUACAUUUGUUAUUUUAUAUAAUUAUAAAUGUUUUGUUGAUAUGUCAAAUAAUAUGAAUAAAUUUAGCAACUUGUUCUUCAACUAUUGAAGGAUAUGCAUCCUUAACAAGUUGCCCUAAUUCGUUUACAUAAUAUUGAAUGAAUGCUUAUGGUUACAUGCGAAUAAUGUCAUGAGAACAUCCCGUGUGCACCAAAUACUCCAUCAAUUAUUGUUUGCAAGUUGAGUAUAUAUUUUCAAUUGUUCUUAUAUUUUUUAAAUGAGAUUCAUGUUCACACGAGCAAUAUCAUUAUAAAUUGCAAUUGUAUCAUCAAAUUCUUCUUUGUCGUUUCAAAGUGGUUUCCAAUUGUUUUCGUUAUCCAUCUAAUAUUUACCUUAUCAUUGACAAUCAUAAAAUAGUUUAUCGAUACACAUCAAAUAAUUUAUGCUACGAAUAACUCUAACCACUUAAAGUUGGAGUUAGUGCAAUAGUACUAAGGUUAAUAUUAGAGUGAUGUGAAGAAUAAUGUUAAGAUUAAGACGCACUUUAAUAUUUAUAAUUAAAUCUAUAAAAAAAACACAUAAAAAUAAACAAAACAGUAAAAAUGUAAAAAAGCAAAUUUAAAUUUAAAUGAUUCACUAUAUCUUGUUAAUAAAAAAAUGUAACACUAAACACACAGUAAAAAAAAAAAAUAUAUAUAUAUAUAUAUUAAAAACAAUAAAGACAUUGAAUAAAAAAAACAGUGAACACAAAGUAAUAAGAAAAAUGUAAAUAAAUUUAUAAAAAUUAAAAAUAAUAGAUGUAAAUGCAUUUAUAAAAAACUAAAAAUAAUUACCACAUAAAAAAAAACACUAAACACCUAAAAAAAUUUAAACACAAUUAUUAAAAUUAAAAAUAGUAAACAAAUAAUAAAAAAAAUGUAAAAACAAAAACACAAAAAACACAUAAUAACAAAUAAAUAUACAAAUAUAUUUAUAAAAAAUAAAAACAGUAGUUACAUAAAUUAAAAAGACAUGAUAAUAAAAAAUAUAAAACAUUAAACAAAUAACAAAAAAAAUACAGAACAGUAAUCAAAUAAUAAAAAAUUAAACAGUAAACACAUAAUAUAAAAAAUAUAAAUACAUUUAUAAAAAUAAAAAAUUUAUAAACACAUAUAAAAACAAAAAAAAUUAAAUACAUUUAUAAAAAUUAAAAUCUGUAUGUAAACCCAUAAAAAAGCAAACAAGACAAAAAAAACCUAAGAAAAAAAUUUAAAUACAAUUAUUAAAAUAAAAAAACAAUAAACACAUAAAAAAACUAAACAGUUUCUUGUUAUUAAAAAAAAUUAAAAAACAUUAAACACAUAAUAUAUAUAUAUAUAUAUAUAAAUAUAAUUAAGAAAUAAGUAAAUACAAUAAAAUAAAAUAAAAAUAAAAAAACUAAACAAUAAACACAUAAUAAAUAAAAAAAUAGUAAAAAAACAAUAAAGACAUAAUAAUAAAAGAAAAUGUAAAUACAAUUUUAAAAAAUUAAAAAUAAUAAACUACUUUUUUUAUGAAAUACAUUUAUAAAAUUAAAAAAUAGUAAAUACAAAAAAAAAAGUGUAAAUCCAUUUAUAAAAAUUAAAUACAGUAAACACAUAAUAAAUAAAAAAGUCAAAUAUAUUUAUAAAAAUUAAAUACAAUAAAUACAUAAGAAAAACUAAACAAUAGUACAAAUGCAACAAAAAAAUGUAAAUACAAUUAUUAAGAUUAAAAACAGUAGACAUAUAAAAAAAAUAAACAGUAUCUUGUUAAUAAAAAAGAUAUAAAAACAAUAAAGACAUAAUAACAAAUAUAUAUAUAAAAAUUAAAAACAAUAAAACAUAGAAUAAAAAAAACAACAAACACAAAAUAAUAAAAAAUAUAAAAACAGUAAACAAAUAAUAAUAAAAAUAUAACUUUUUUAUAAAAAAUAAAAACAAUAAACACAUCAACAAAUGUAAAUGCAUUUAUAACAACUAAAAAUGGUAUUAUUAAAAUUAAAAAUAAUAAACACAUAAAAGUAAUAAUAAAAAUGUAAAACAUUAAACACAUAAUAAUAUAAAAAAACAUUAAAGUUAUAAAAUAAAAACUAAACCGUAAACAUAAUAAUAAAAAUAUUUAAUUACCUUAUUCGUCCCUAUAUUUGGGGUCAAUAUUCAAUUUGAUACCGUGGUUUUUAAAAAAAUCAAUUUGGUACCGUGAUUUAAAAAAUAAUCAAUUUGGUCCCUAUGUCUUUUAAAAUGUAUCCAAAUUGGUCUUUCCGUUAAAUCCCUCCUAACAGCUAACAGCGUAAGGUGUUGCUUAUGAUAAAGAGAAUGUCUAUAUGGGGAGAGAGAUGUGAGAUUAUUAUUAUUAUUAUAGUUAUUAUUAAUACUAUUAUUAUUAUUGUUAUUUUUAUUACUAUUAUUAUUAAUAUUAUUUUUCUUAAUAUUAUUACUAUUAUUGAUAUUUUUAUUACUAUUAUUACUAUUAAUAUUAUUUUUCUUAAUAUUAAUAUUAUUAUUAUUACUAAUAAAAAAUAAAAUAAAAAUAGUAAUAAUAAUAAUAUUAAGAAUAAUAAUAAGAAAAAUAAUAUUAAUAAUAAUAAUAAUAAUAGUAAUAAUAAUAUUUAUAUUAAGAAUAAUAAUAAUAAUAAUAAUAAUUCUCAAUCUCACCUCUCCCUCCACAUAAACACUCUAUCUCCCACAUAAACACUCUCUCUAACCCACAUUCUUUCUGUGUCACAUAAGCAACACCUACGCUGUUAGGUGGAACUUAACGGAAAUGACCAAUUUGGAUACAUUUUAAAAUAUAUAGGGACCAAAUUGAUUUUUUUAAAAACCACGGUACCAAAUUGAAUAUUGACCCCAAAUGUAUGGACGAAUAAGGUAAUUAAAUAUAAUAAAAACUGUAAAACCAAUAAACACAUAAUAAUAAAAAAGAAAAGUAAAUACAUUUAGAAAAAUAAAAAACUGUAAACACAAAAUAUAAACUAAACAAUAAAUACAUAUAAAAGAGUAUAAAUAUUGUACUGUUACAGUCUAUAGGACUGAUAGCACGUCUCGAACUUCGUCACUGGAUCGACCGAGUCCCUAUGGCCUGUAUCUAUAAGGGCAAUCGAAAUCAUGAUUCCAAUUACUCUCCAGCAAGAUCAGCAAGGCUAAUCCAUGAUUAGGAGCUAGGUAAUGCAACCCUAAUCACGGUCCAACUCCCUAAUCCAACCCAACAAGAGAAAACUCGUCAAAGGUAAUAUAAAUAACACAUAUUCUAAGGAUCAGGUACAUUAUCUACCGUGCUCUAGCUAUCGAGUGUCGAACCCUUUUGUUGACUUUAGCGUCAAAGUGUCUUCUGCAUGUACUCUCAUUCGGUACUCACGAGACGACCGAGAACCGAGGCUAGGAAGGAAAGGAGAGGAACGAGUAAGAAAGGAAGUUGAAGAGUAGCACAACCGACCCAUAAAAAAGAAGAAGACGAGUUCUCUCAAUAGUUUUUUAGGCCCCAUCCCCGAACGAAAAUAAAUACAUUUAUUAAAAAUAAAAACAGUAAACAUAAUAAAAAAAUAGUUACCACACUUAAUAGAAAAAAACUCUAUAUAAAAAAAAAUUAUUAAAAACUUACGUGAAGGUGAAGGCAGAGAAGAAACCGUGUGAUAAACAUAACCAACCAAAGAACCACUGCAAUCAGACACAAGAAGAUGAACCAAGAUCCAAUCUGAAAAAAAAAAAAAAAACAGAAUGAAUUCCAAUAUUUUUCUCAAAUAAUGACUGAUAAGAUUAAUAAAAAAACUCACACAAAAAUUAAAAUAAAAUGCAACAAUUGUUAUGAUUUAAAGAAGAGGACGGCAACGAAUUUUCGAAACUUUAGACGAGUAAAAAGAAACGAGAUAGGUGAAUUAUAUAGCAAAACCUUUUACUAUAAUAGUAAAACAAAAUUAAGAAAAAAUGUUUAAUUAUUUAUUUUUUAUAUUUUAUUAAAGAAGGAAAUAAAUGGUUAUGUAUGGAGAGGGAAAAGAAUGAAAUUUGGGGAGGAAGGAAUAUGAGAGAAGAAAAGGAAAAGGAUAAAGUGUUGGAAGUGAGGAUUAAUUAUUUCUUAAUUAGAUAUUUAUUUAAAAAUAAUAGAAAUUAAUUUAAAAAUUAAAAAAGAAAAAUUUAAAUAAUUUUUAAUUUAUUUAAUAUUGUAAUUAAUUAUUUUGGUAUUUAAAAGUUGUUUUUUAUUUGAUGAUUGUCUUGUAGUAAUAGAUGACAAACCAUUAUAAUAUUAUAAUAAUAUUUUAUUUUAAAAAUUAAAUUAAAUUAUUAAAAUAUUAAUUUAUUUGUUUGUGAAAUUAUACUGUAUAUAGUGUCCACAUAUCACCAAUCAUUUAAAAUUCUCUACAUCACAAUUUACUGUCUUUUUUGUUUAGUAUGUGAAUUUAUCAGCUUAUUGUGAUUUUAGUUUCUCAAUUUACCCACAUCCCAGGUUAAUAUCUUUUUAAUUCCUAAAAUUAGUUACACAAUGUCAAUUAAGAGAUUAAAGUAGAAAUAAAAUGCUAAAUUCAGAAACUAAAAUACUCAUAAAUAAUUAAAUUCGGAGCUAAAACGAUAAAAUACAGUAAAGUCUGGGAUAAAAAAUUAAUAAAUAAAUAAUGAUAAAGUUAUAGUUUUACCUUAAUUUUUGAAUUUUAGUACUUUCAAAAACUGUUCUUUACCUGUUUUGUGCGACCAACUUAGCACACUGUUGUGUUUCGCGGCUGGGCUGCUUCAUUUCUCUACCACCACCAACAACCAUCGUCUUGUCACCUCAGAGUCAUCUACAGUUGUUCUUGGGGAUUUUGUGUUUUCAUUCACAUUUCACACUUACAUUAAAGGUAAAAACGAUUUUGAAUAUAUAGAUUUUGUUUGCAUAUUGCACCCAUUUUCUUUGUAUUCUUGGCACUGGCUUUUACUUUUUGGAAAAAGGGUUUGUCUCUAACAACGUGAGAAACUGUUGGAAUACCUGUUGGGAGAGAUUAAGCAUAGUGUUUGAAGCAAAAUUGUAUCUUGGAAUGGGAAACAAAAAGUUUAGACAACAGGGUUAACAAAACAAUACUCAUAUCCAUUCUCUCUAUAUUGGUUGUCAUGUACCUGGGUCUGAACAGUUAUACUAUGUUGCAUCUCAGUUCAAAAUGGUCAAAUUUUUCAUUUUCAUCAAUGUCAUUUGUUAUCAAUGUCAUGAUAUUUAGUUUCUCCAUUUGUUGUGUUUAAUGUUUGCUUUAUGAAAACAAGAGAGAUUUAUUCAUUAAUGCUAAGUAGUUAACUCUCUAUGGACUGUAGUAAUCUAAACAGUUUAGCUUUUUCACUUUCCAUUAUCAGUCCUUCUACACCUCUUUCUUCCAAGUCUUGCUACCAUGAAAAGUAGACAUGUCUAUAAUUAUGUGGUUCUGCAUCUAAAUUAUAAUAUAACACUAUAUUAAUAAAUUAGUUUCCAAAAUUAUGGAUUCUAGUUAAUUAGUAUAUGAAAUUGUAAAAGUAUAAUUGGAGUCAUCAAAGUUGGAGGAGUCAUUAUAAUAUUUCAGUACAAGAAUUAAAUUGGCUAAUGAUCUAGAACUAAAUUAUUUGUCAUUUUUUUAAUAUCUAGAAUUCAUAUAACAUUUUAUAAAUUAAAAAAAAACCAUAUGUAUAAAUGAUUUUAUUCAACAAGAGAAUCAUUAAUAAUGUAUUCUUUGUUCACCUCUGGACUCUGUCACUCUAUGUGUGUAUGUGUGUAUACACAGUCAAUUUUAAAUUUUAAAUAUGGUUUUAAUUCUUGUAAUCUACUUUCUGAUAUGUUUCUGGUCACUCUACACAAACUCAGCUUAUCUCUCAAUCUUAAAUAAUUAUGAUUUAAUUUACUGUUUAAAGAAAAAAAUCAGUUAAGUUGUAAAAAAAAAUUGUAUUGUUUUUUUCAUUUUUUUUUUAAAUUUUUAGAAAAUUAAACCAAAUUUUCUUUAAUUAUUUACUUUUAUUUUUUCAUCUUUUGUCCUGAACUUUAAUUGUAGAAUGUCCUAAAAAAACUAAACUCUGGAGAGCAUUAUUAAAAAGAAAAAAGGGAGAGAAUUGGUUGCUUGCUCGCGAAGUAUGAGGGUCUAAACAAAGUUAUAAUACUAUAUUUCCCAUUAUGAAUCUUUUAAAGAAGCAUUUUGUUUCAGUUUAUCGUAUACUCUUGGUUGACAAGUUUGUGAAGGAAAGGCCCCGAACACACAUUCAGAGCUUUAUUCACCAUUACUUCAAGGUAAAAGUUCUGAAUCAAAACCUCAUAUAUCUUUCUUCUGUAUCAAGUACAUGUUCUGUAAAUUGUUUUCUAUGACUGACUUCACUUGUUUUGAAUUUGAACACAUUUUAGAAUCACUUGAAAGAAAAUGGCAGAACAAAAUAAGGAAUGGGCUGUGGGAAUUGACCUUGGCACAACAUACUCAUGUGUUGCUGUAUGGCUAGAGGAACACUGUCGAGUGGAGAUAAUUCACAAUGAUCAGGGCUGUAGAACAACGCCUUCAUCUGUGGCUUUCACAGAGAAUCAAAGAUUGAUCGGUGAUGCUGCUAAAAAUCAGGCUGCUAUUAACCCAACUAACACUGUCUUUGGUAAAUAAUUGCUUUUUAUUGCAUGUGAAUUCAUUUAAAUGUUUAAACUAGUUAUUUGUGUUGGCUUUUAGUUGCAAAUGAUACCUUAACAUUCAUCAUUUACUUUGUGCCAAAAAGUAUACUUUUUGUCCAGUACUCUAAUUUGUUCUAUAACUUUAAAUUAAUAAAUAUCAUUCCAUAAGACUAUUUUGAUUAGCAUCAUUGAGGAAUAGCCUUAAAUUCGUGCUCGAUUAAUGACUAAUUUUGCAGAUGUGAAAAGGUUAAUCGGCAGAAGAUACAGUGAUCCCAUUAUCCAGGACGAUCUAAAGUUGUGGUCAUUUAAGGUCAUUGCUGAUUCUGAUGACAAACCCAUGAUAGCUGUUUCAUACAAAGGUCAGGAGAAACACAUUUCAGCUGAAGAAAUCUCAUCUAUGAUCCUCACAAAGAUGCGGGAGACUGCAGAAGCGUACUUGGAAUCAGGGGUUAAGAAUGUUGUGGUUACUGUGCCUGCUUAUUUUAAUGACUCUCAGCGACAAGCAACCAAAGAUGCUGGUACCAUUGCUGGCCUCAAUGUCAUGCGGAUAAUCAAUGAACCCACAGCUGCAGCUCUGGCAUACGGCCUUGACAAGAGAGCAAAAUGUGUUGUUGGAGAGAGAAAUAUUUUCAUCUUUGAUCUUGGUGGUGGUACAUUUGACGUGUCUCUGCUCACAAUCAAGGGUGAUGUCUUCAAAGUCAAGGCCACUGCUGGUGACACGCACCUUGGAGGAGAGGACAUGGAUAACAGAAUGGUAAAGUACUUCGUUGAGGAGUUCAAGAGGAAGAACAAAGUUGACAUCAAUGGGAACCGGAGAGCCUUGAGGAGGUUGAGAACUGCUUGUGAGAGAGCAAAAAUAAUAAUAAUAAUUGAAUGCGGACUGACCCACAAACUCAUGGGCCAGCACUUAUGCAGAGCGAGACCGAAAAUCACUCGUGCAAGAUUUGAGGAGCUCAACUUGGACCUCUUUAAAAGGUGUAUGGAGACAGUAGAUAUGUGUCUUGUUGAUUCUAAGAUGGACAAGAGUGAUGUAGAUGAUGUUGUUCUCGUUGGUGGUUCUUCUAGGAUUCCCAAAGUGCAACAGCUAUUGCAAGACUACUUCAAGGGGAAGGAACUGUGCAUGAGCAUCAACCCUGACGAGGUUGUUGCUUAUGGAGCAGCAAUUCCCAACUUAGUGUUAUUAGAUGCUACACGGCUGUCACUUGGUAUAUCUUUAAAAGGAGAUCUCAUGAGUGUUGUGAUUCCUAGGAACACCACCAUUCCUGUUGAGAAGAAAAAAGUAUAUGUUAAGAUCAGAAGAUUUCCCAAUCUUAUGUCCAAAGUAAAGGUUUACGAGUGUGAAAGGACAAUAGCAAGUGAUAACAAUUUGCUUGAUUUUUUUAAUCUUUAUGGCAGUCCUUAUGCUCUUUGAGGCCAUCCUUUAACUGUAAGUUUCAGUAUAGAUGUUGAUGGUACUUUAAGUGUAAUUGCUGAGGAAGAAAGCAGUGGAAGUAAGAACGGGAUUACUGUAACCAACGACAAGGGAAGACUAUCAACUCAACAAAUUAUGAGAAUGAUUCAAGAUGCCGAGAUAUACAAGGCUGAAGACCAGAAGUACCAAAAGAAAGUUCAAGCAAUUGAUGCUAGCCAGCAGACAGAAACAGAGGUGUUUGUGGAUCAUCUGAAUGAGGUGAAGAGCCUCAUUGAACUCAUUAUGAGGAUUAACUAGUUUGUUUCAAAACUCAAAUUUGGAAAAUCGAUUAUGCUUCUUGAAAAACAUCACAAUCGAUUUUUUAAAUUAUUCUGAAUGUAUAGUGUUGAUAAAAAAAAUAAGAUAAACCAGUUAUUUAGUUUCUCAAACCACUUUUCUUGUUCCUCAAAGCACGAGCUCUCUCGUUUUGUUCUAGGAAGAAGAGCAAAUCACAACAAACAAAACUAUCACAAAACUAAUUUUAUUUAUACACAAAGUUCACGUUCAUGAGUCUACAAUUUUUUUGUCAAGAUUCUUUUGCACCCAGCACUGUAAAGAAGAAAACCGAAAACUCAUUCACAUGCAGAUGCCUACAUUGUUUAAUAUAUUUGAUGGAAGGGUAACAAAAUAAAUUAGUAUUUGUGCUUCUAUAUUCCGCGCAAAUCUUCUCAGUUUUAUGAAGAGUGAAAAAACUAUCUACCCUGCUCUCCCAUCCGCACUCACACUCUCAUAUACACUCAUCCAAACAAAAACUCUUUCCACUUCCCUUCCUCCUCUUUUGUCACACCUUGAAGCAAAUAGGAUGUAAGAUUGAGGACAUGCAAAUGAACAAGAUUACGUGAACCUUCCUAACCCAUUAGACAUCAUAUGAUAGUUUUAUUUAUAUAUUGAUUUGAUCUAUUUAGAAAAAAUGUCAAAUCUAAGCAUUUAUAAGCAAAGUUGGAAGUUUUUAGAAAAUAGUAGGCUUGAACCUCUUUUAAGUUAUAGUAUUUUUUUUUUUAUGCUAUAUCAAUAUUAUAUGAGUUAAAAUUGUUUUAAAUAAUUUUCAUUUUUGAGAUCCAUCUAAUACUCCAAACCAAACAAGCAUUAUCAACAAUUCCAUUUUUAUGCAAAAUUCAUCCAUAGAUAAAAAUAAAACAUGCAACAAAAAUAACUAACUGAAAAAUAAAUUAUACACCAUAAUAACUUUAUAUUAUCAUACAAUGACACAGUGUAAAAUAAAGAUAUUAACUUUUACUAUUAUCAAAACUUUAUCUGCCAAACGUUUAAAAUCAAACAAUUUCAACAAAAUCUUUAAAUUUUAUUGGACUUUCCUCAUCUGUAUCUAUUUCUACAGAAAUGGCUUUAACUGCUUACUCGUAUUAACAGCUACUUUCGUAUAAAAUAUAUGUUGACAAAUUAUUCAUGGGCAUAAUUUAUUCUAAAUUUUUCACCAAACACUUGCAAAUAUCACUCAAUUCACAAGAUAAACCGGGCCAUAAAUUAUCUAUUCCAGACGAAACCAUGAAGCAUAAAAUUGACAACUGAAAGUAGCUAAAUAAACUAAAAGUUCAUGAAAAUCGAGAGUUAUUUUCGUAACUUCAGAUAAGCCUUUUUCAAAAGCGAUAAAAAUGAACUCCUACUCAACCGUACAAAAUACUAAAAAUGUAGAAAAUAUCAAUACACCAAUUCUUCCAUCUUAACAAUGCAAUGCUACAUAGUAUCACUAGCAAAAUAAAACCGGUAAAACACAACUAAAAAAAAAGAUAGUCCCAGGGAACAGCAAGGGGACAAAAAUAUCAACUCUGAGGCGAUGCUUUAGCAACGGCAGUCUGAGGCUGAGUGUUCCCACUGGCAUUACCAUCGGCAGUAUAUGCUGGAGCCUGAGUAUAACCAGCACCAUAAGAACUACUGCUGUAUGGAGGCGGUGCCUGACCAUAAGUAGGCUGGCCACCCUGAGGUGCACCAUAUGUUUGAGAACCAUACCCUGGUUGCCCUGCACCAUAUCCCGAAGGUGGUGCUCUCUGAGCACCAGAUUCUGGUUGGGGUUGAGAAUAACCAGAUGGUGGAGGCUGCGCAGGAUAUGCUGACUGACCAUAGCCUCCUACCGCACUAGGUGACUGUGACUGUCCAUAAACAGGAGGAUUAGCACUUGGCUUUUGAGAUUGAGGGGCUCCAUAACCUGGCUGUGGUUGACUUCCAUAAGCAGCUUGGGAUGUAGGGGGAACCCCAUAACCUGACUGAGGAGUUCCCUGAGGUGGGUAGCUGGCAGUGUUUGAGCUGGGCUGUUGGCUGGUAGGAUAACCUUGCUGUGGCUGUUGGGUAGAUGGAGCUUGGGCUGAAUCUCCCUGAGAUGCAUAACUUGCAGUGUGGCCAUCUGGUGCUGAGUUAUUCCCACUACCAUAGCCGGUAGUAGCUGACCCAUAGCCUUGCUGCUGAUCAUAUGCUGGUGGCUGUCCAUACCCUGAUUGAGAUUGUGCAUUGUAUGCAUUAUAGCUGUCCUGAGCAUAACCCUGUCCGGGUUGGCUAUAACCAAAAGAAGGUGGUUGACUGUAACUGUAAGCAGAGCCAUCCGCUGGAGGUGCAGGGCCUCCAGGAUUUUGCGGUUGCUGUGGCUGUUGACUAUAGUAAUCAUAGCCACCAGCUUGAGUAGACUGUUGGUGAGGUGGUGCAGAAGACUGGUCCCAGCUGGUGGAAUAUCCACCUGGUUGUUGAGGAGGAUAGCCUGCAUAAGGUGGUUGAGGCAUAUUAUACUGAGGUGAUGGACCAGAAUAUGCUCCAGGUUGCAUAUAGCCAUAACCAGGUUGCUGCAUUUGAGCAGGGGGAGCCCAGUUCGAGGGUGGUCGAGAUUGGUAGCCUUGCUGAGGAUAUCCACCAGACAUUGAAGGAUUUCUAACACGAUUCUGUGGAGACAAAUUCAAACCAAAUAUGAAGAGUGAAUUCACCCAAGUUUCCACAUUUCGAGUACAGAAAUCAACAGAUGCACACACAUACACAGGUUAAACUUACGCAGUUAAGAAUAAACAUGAAGAACACAAGAUAAAGUAUACAAGUUGCAUAAAAAGAUUGCAUACAAGAAUAGAAAGGGAUAUAUAUACCAACAUACCGUACUGGUUCGUGAUAAAACUGAGUUACUCCAGCAGCACACCUUUUCCCUAUUCGAAUUGAAUGGGUACAAAAGGAAGCACAGACCAAAGAAGCAGACAAGCAUACAAUUUGAAUUGCUUAAAAAGGCAAUCCAUCAUAUAGUAUCACAAAAUAUGUAUGAUCUUAUCUCAAUUAUUACACCAUAUAAUAUAUUCUUCAUAAUCAUAUUAAUUCAACUAGAGUAUCAGGACUACAAAUAUUUUACUGCAUAUGAUGAAGGAGUAACCAUAAAUAUACAGACUGUCAAGACCACUUCCCUGUUCUCCCAUGUACCUCCUUUUAACCUUUGUUUAACCCACUCUAACAGGUUAACCUCAAAGGAUUAUAAAAUAAAAGAAAAUUAAAUUAAAUAUUAUUUGAGUAGAACAGGAAUUGAAAAUAGGGACCUGAAAAUGUAUUUAAUGUGUGUAACUCGAGCGUCAAAACUAUCAGUUAAAGGGCACAAGAUUAAGAAAAACAGUUGAAUGAUAAGACAGAUAAAAAGUGGGCAUGGGCUAUAGAAAGGCAAUGAUGCCACAAGAAAUGAACAACCCACUACACACAUCCGAAACAACAGACGGAUCAUAAAAGAAGUCUUGACACAUAACUUGUUAGUUUAAACAAUUAUAACUAUAAAUUGAUGAAGUAAUAGUAUAGGAAAGUUAUUUUUCCUCACAAUAGCAACUACAGGUUAUUAUGCCAAAUGUAAGUCCAGCAUAAGACACAAAUAUAAAAUAUUUUUUCAAAUAUAUGAAGUUUUUACGAAUUAACUAAAAAGCACAAUUGGCAUGGUUGAAAAGGAUUUCAACACAAUAAUCAAUAUAGUUUAGUAAGGACACUGUAAGUAAAAAAAUGUAUCAAUAGGAGACUUACUGCCCUUGAUAACAAUUAUCAAAACUGAGAUUUAGAACCAUACCAGGGCAUGAUGAGGGAACACCAACAAAGGAAUUCAUGUUGGUGUCACCAAUGGUCCAAUAGACACUAUAAUCCUACAAUAGUCCCAAUAACAAGAUCAGUCAUAGGAUACACAGUUAAUAAUAUUCCAUUGUUGAACAGGCUAUAAUCCCAAUGAGAAUCCACUUGGACAAAAAAAUGUCAUAAUAAUAGUAGCCUUCAUGGCCCCCAGCAACCUAGCCCACAAAAGCGUUGAAAGACCCACCACACUAAUGAACUGGGCCAUGAGAAAAACUUUACCACAGUUAAAACAGUCUUUGCAAGAUCUUGGCAUCUUGGGGAGAAAAGACAAUCCAAUUCGAAAAUAAUCCCAUUAAGGUCCUCACUUUCUGUAUGUAUAAAAAUCGGUAUGAUUUAUUAUCUAAUAAUAUAGCAGAUAACAAUGACACACAAACACAUAUAGACACAGUUUUUUACCAUUGACCUAAGCUAAGACCAAACUAAAGAUACUGAUCUGUGAAUAUGGUACUACUAAAUCAGGACCCAAUUCAUGAACAUACCAUACAUUUGUUAACACCAUAAUAUAGCUGAUAAAUAUCAUGGAUACUACAGUGGCUUGUCUCCCUAAUCAUGUCUGUUUUUGGUGAGCAAAUGCAACUAAGCGGAGGACAAUUGGAGAUUACAAGUAAAAACAUCAUAACAUCAAUUGGCAAUUCAGUGUGUUUUGUUUUAAAGUUGGGAAGUCUCAAACGGAAGUUGAACUCAUUCAGACUAGAGAGAUGGAUUGGAGUGUGUAACUGUUAAACAAGCACACAAUUUAUCUUCCACCAUUUUGCAUUUUUUUAUACUAGUCUUGAAACAAAACUAUGCACUAAUUCUCUUCCAGGAACAAUACAACAAGUAACAGACAUCCAUCGAUAUAGAUGUAUCAAUUAUCAAAAGAUUACUUGUUGAAUAUACUUACAGCUGAAGAAACAGUGCUUAUUUAAACAUAUACUUACAGCUAAAAAGUCAAUUUAAUCAGGAGAUCAAUGAAUUCAGAACAUAUAAGUUGAUUGAUAAUGCUCACGAUAUGAAGUAAUAUCAUUAAUAAGAUCAAUGAAUUGAUAAACAUGGACGUAAACAUCAUUUAUGCCAACUAAGGUGAAAUCAUCACAUAAUUUACCAAAUUAUUCUCUCCCAGCAAUGAAACAGAAUAAAUUAUUGAAGACAAUCCAAAACUCGUCUAACAUGUUAAUGAAUCCAUCAGUUCUAGUUUUAUAUUUUAUUUUAACAUCAUACCAAAUAACAAAGUUCUAGUUCUAAAUUUUAUUUUAAUAACAUACAAAAAUAACGAAGACCCAGGAGGCAAUUACAAGUGCACAAUAUCAUCCUUACAAUCACAUAAAGUCACCAAUGUGAUCAAAUAAACAUUCUAAAAGAUGAUUAUAUAUCAGCAACAAAAAGAAAACAGAACCGAGUACAAAAUCCACAAUUUAAACACUAAACUGUACUUCGCACAAGGCAGGCAUGACAUGCUAAGCCAAAUGUAUCCACCAGAGAAAAUUUUUAACAUACCUCACCACUGAUGACUUGAUUAACCAACUGCUUUGCAGACUCAAUUUGCUCAGAAGUCCCAUCAAUUUUUAAUGUUCUUUCAGUUGAUGUGUCACCUGGGGGAAGAUGAAGUGGUAUCACCUGGAAAAAUAUAGACAUUAGUAUAAAGUGACUCCAGAGGAAUUUCCAAGCCUCGAGUGUCAGAAGUUAUCAUACUCUUUCAUAUUAGCAGUAAUCACAAAGCCACAGUAAAAAAACAUAUCACGAAAUCCAAGCAACUAUGAUUUAGCACCUAUGUCUAAUACACAAUGAAGACAACAAUAUACUCUUUAUGACUUAGAAGUGAAAACCUGAAUCCGUGCACCAGUAGAAGCUUGCAUAUUCUUUAUAGUUUCUCCUCCUUUACCAAUUAUAAGACCAACCUGAAGAUGCAUACAACAAACUAUAUCAACCAAAUCAAUAACACAGAAAUGAAUUAAAACAUUGCACAAAUCUUAAGAUUAUACAAAUCUUAAGAUUAUACAAAUCUCCUUUUUCAGACCUUAUUAUUUGGGAUUUUCAUGACAAAUUCAUCGGACCCAGCUUGUCCAGUCAGUCUCCGAGCAACAAUGCCAGAACCCCCAGAUUCAGCCUGGUACAGAAACAAUUCACGCCAGAUAUAUGUUAAUAUUAAAUCUUCGAGGAAAUUCAUUCGGAAACUAUUCAUGUUAUUCAUAUUAUUACAACUAUCAUUCGGACAACAUCUGAGAUAAUUACACAAAUAUCCCCACAUGCAUAAUUUGCAGAAAAAAAAAACUAAUAAUGAUGCGUGAAACCUCAGCAAGAACUUCAUUGAUGAGUUUCUCAGCAGAGGCAAUUGCCUCGGGAGUGCCCAUAAGCUCAACCGUCCUAGUAGUGGAAUUAGGGUCCGCGUCCAUAUCACGAGUAACUUGAAUUUUGGCACCAGACUGCAACUGGAGAUACUUAAUGGUCUCUCCAGCUUUGCCAAUAAUCACACCAACCCUGCCGUUAGGGAUAUCAAUCUUCUUACUCGUUCCUUGUUGACUGUAGGAAACGGGAGGAAUGGCCGAGUACUGAGGCUUCGCAUCUACGUUCACAGAAAUCAGAGUGUAUAAAACCCUAACCUAAACAAGAAGAAGAGUGGAGAAGAGAAGGAUAUUUAGUUACCGUAAGAAUCGAAGCCAGAGGUAGGAGCACCGUUAUCGGGUUUGGGACGCUUAGCAUCGAGCGGGGGAGGAGGAGUAACGCUGAGGAGGCGAGCGGCGACUUCUUGAGCACGCUGCUUGGCGAGCUCGAUGCCGGUAGCAGGGCCCGCUGAGAAUCCGGUGGGUCUGUCGGAGGGUUGGUCUUCGUACUUGCGCUUGAGGGAUGCCGACUCGGUUCCCGAUGAAUACUGCGCUUCCUCCGCCAUUGGCACAAACCCUAGCCACUCGCGUUACCUGUGUAGGGAGAGCGAGAUAUUUUACUUCGCUUGGGCAACCAAAAAUCACAAGGUGUCUCUACGUCACGGUUGUAAGAAGAAAUUAUAUUUAAAGACAAAUUUUAUUUUCAGAUAAUUGUAAUAUAUUUAUUAUGCAUUACUUCUCCCUUCUUCGAUUAGGCAUUUUAAUAUUUCCUUUCUUUUUUAUAUAUCAUUUUACACUAUACUUUCAAAACUAUUUAAAAAAAAAUCAAUGACUCAAAGUAUCGUCUCUUUUUUAUCAUUGUAAGUAUAUUUGAAAUUUUAUGUCUAAUACUUUUCAUUUAUUUUCUCUCAUUUAUAUAUAUAUAUGAUGAUGAACUUCAACAAUUUCUAUUAUAAACAUAAAUUGUUAAACUAAUUUUAUAGUACAAAGUUUAGCUUUAAUGUAUAACUUAUAUAUUAAAAUUGUACUGUGUGCACUACGACUAACCACACAUUUCACUUUCCACCAUUGGAUCGACUGAAGAUAAGGUCUUCAUAGUGGGUCGACCAACAACUCAAAUCCAAUUACACUUAAGCAGAGUCAGUGAAGUUAAUCUACGAUUAAAAGUUAGGUAAUGUAUUCUUAAACAUGGUCCAACUCCCUAAUAUGGCACAAUAAGAAAUACCCAUUAAAAUAAUAUACAUAGCCCACAUUCCAAGAUUCAGGUACGUCAUCAUAUACAGUGCUCUGACAACUGAGCGUUGAAUACCUUUACUGACUUGAGUGUCAGAGUGUCUUCUGCAGAUACCAUCCGAGUCUGGACUACGAGAAGACUGAUAGGUGAGACGAGUAAGGGGGAGUAAGGAGGGAAGCUGAAGUGCAAUCCGACCGAUAGACUAAGGAAGGAGAAGAGUGAUCUCAAUAGUACUCUGGGCCCUGACCCCGUUCGAGAACUAUUGACGCCCACCGUGGGGCCGAGAGAAUUCGUGUGAAGAGCGUUAGUAGAUGGUAUCAACCCGCAGCAUGGCAAGUGAGAGGAUUACCGAAGUUGAGCAGAUGAUGUUGUUGAUGUCUCUACAAAGAGAGAUGGUCGAGAUGAGGAGGAAGAAUGAAGAGGUUAACAAGAAGAAUGAGGAGGAGAUUCUAGCCCUUAUGAGGGAGAACACGGAGAUGAAGAGAAGUUUGUCGAGGGGGACCGUCUAUUGUACUGACUAACCUCGUCGGUAGGUCGUUCACCUCCCCUCGCGACCCAAAAAUAGUUGAGGAGACCAAGAACAAGGUCCUUCUCAAGAGAUGGAUGGCAAGUCCCAUCCAAACAAGUCAAUCCACACAAUUGGGACCUCAGAUUCAGUGCAUCGACAUCCCUUUACCGAUUAUGUAAUUGAGGUACCACUACUGGAUAAGUGGAAAGGCUUCAAUAAGGAUCGUUAUGACGGCACAACCGACCUAGAUAAGCACAUGGAUGAGUACAGUAUACCACAUGGUUGGCCAACGUGGUCAUGGUUACCAAGUCUAAUGACAAGUGGAGGAUGUGCGUCGACUAUACGAACCUCAAUAGGGCCUACCCGAAGGAUUCGUAUCCGCUUCCUAACAUCAAUUGGUUGGUAGAUGGAACAACCGUCCACAAAAUCCUAAGCUUCUUGGAUGUUUACUCUAACUACAACCAGAUAAGCAUGCACCAUUGGGACAAGGAGAAAUUUGUCUUUAUAAUUGACGACGCCAACUAUUACUAUGAGGUGAUGUGGUUCGGUGUAAAGAACGCUGGAGCAACCUACCAGCGGCUCAUGGAUAAGAUCUUUAAGGGACUUAUCAGUCGGUGUGUGAAGGUUUAUGUGGAAAACAUAGUGGUCAAGUCUGACUCGUGUGACCAACACAUCAAGGAUCUUAAAGAGGUGUUCGAAGCGAUGAGGUGGGCGUACAUGAGGCUCAAUCUAGAAAAGUGUGCAUUCGGUGUUGAGGGUAGUAAGUUCUUGGGUUUCAUCCUAAUCCAUCAGGGGAUAAAAGCCAAUAUGGACAAAUGUCGAACGAUCACAGAGAUGCGGAGCCCUCAGAACAUAAAGGAAGUUCAGUAGCUCAUAAAGCGUCUUACCGCCCUCUCUAGGUUCGUCCCUCAAUUGGUCGAGAGGACGAGGCUGAUGGUGCAGCUACUCCGCAAGAUAGCUAAGUUCAGUUGGUACGAGAAGUGUGAAGAAAUUUUUCAACAACUGGAGGAUUUCUUAUCCUCGUCAGUAGUUAUCCAGAAGCUUAGACCCGACCAACCCAUUCUGGUGUAUCUGUCAGUCUCCGAAAAGGCUUGCAACGUUGUGCUGGUUUAAGAAGUGGUGAUCUCCUUUUGGACCAAGCUCUCUAGUUUGGAUUUAAGGUCACCAAUAACCAAGCCGAGUAUGGGGUUAUCCUAGCCGAGCUAAACUUGUCGUAUGACAUGAGAGCUCACGAGGUAACUUGCAAAAGCGACUCCCAGGUAGUGAUCGAUCAAAUCAAAGGAGAGUUCGAAGUAAAGGAACCCUUGCUCCAGAGAUAUUAUCAUACGGUCGACAACCGCACAACCCGGUUUCAAAAAGUGCGGUGGAACACAUCCGUCGGCAUGAAAACAAGAAAGCCGAUGCAUUGUCUCAGCUACUGACGACCAAGAAGAAGAGCCACCACAAGUCUGUCAUGCAAAUUUGGCUAAGACAACCUAGUGUGGCAGAAGCCGAGUGCCUAACUGUUACUGAGACCAAGACUGGGAUGACCCCGAUCGUCCAGUACCUUAAGCACGACACGUCCAAAUCAGACGAGGAAAAGGCGAUGAAGCAACAAUGUUCAAGGUACACUAUGAUCAACCAGUAUCUCUACGCAGGAUCAAUGUUCAAGGUACAUUACUCAAGGUCAUUACUAAAGUGCAUCACCAAAGAACAGACAGAGUACGUCCUCAAGAAAAUCCAUGAAGGAGUUUGCGACAAUCAUUCAAAAGCACAAACGAUGGUUAUCAAAAUCCUCAAGGUCGGUUACUACUGGCCGACCGUCCAGGGUGACUAUGCAUAAUUUGUGAAGAAAUGCGUCAAGUGCCAAGAGUUCGAUCGUCUGCACCACCUUAAGCCAUAAGCGAUGCAUAGUAUGACAUCCCCAUGGUCGUUCUCCAUCUGGGAAUGGACAUCAUUAGUCCUUUCACUCCGGGGAAGGGGCAGGAAAAAUUAUUCCUAGUCGGAGUGGACUACUUCAUCAAAUGGAUCGAGGUCGAAUCGCUCACAUCCAUCUCGGUGAAAAACGUGCAAAACUUCAUAUGGAGAAGUAUUGUGUGUCGGUUUGAAGUGUCGCACACUAUAAUAACUGAUAAUGACCAACAGUUCAUCGAUCGAGGACUUUAGUCUUUCUAUGAUGACCUUGGUAUCAAGUCAAUAACCAGCUCGGUCGAGCAUCCCCGAAUCAACGGGCAGGUCAAAGCUGCAAACAAGGUCAUUUGAACAAAUUGAAACAUCAACUCGAUGGACCGAGGAACUACUGGAAUUUCUGUGGGCAUAUCGUUGCACCCCCAAACAUCCACACAAGAAUCACCGUACAACCUAACGUAUGGAACUAAAGUUAUGAUCCCGGUUGAGAUAGGCGAGUGAUGAGCAUAUAUUUAUUCACACUCAAUAACUUUAAUCAUGGAUUAUUGGAUUAUGAUAAUAAAUAAAUCCAUUGUUUUAAUUUAGAUUUAUAUAAUUGGGUUUAUUUGGGUCUUUAUUGUUAAUUUUGUGUUUUUAAAGUAAAUUAUCUGGAGGAAGCAUAUACAUUUGUAAAUGGGUCAAAUAUGCAAAAGUUCAAGUUGCUUCUUGAACCAAAACAGGAAACAAAUUCUGGAGAGAAGAAAGAGAAAAUAAAAUCUACAAUAUCUCAGAAACAAAAUUGGAAGCAAAUCUUCUGCAAAAUACAAUAAUUUUGGAAAGUUGGAAACUGUUAACAAAAUAUAAACUACAAUAUUUUUCCAAGAUCCUUUGAGCAGAAAAGCCUAUAAAAGGACACAAGCAUCGAGGAGAAAAAUAGAGUUUCAUAGGGUUUUUUUAGUUUUUUUUCUUCUUUGUAAUUCUUUUAUUUUGUCUCUGCAUGGAAGGCUAAACCUUUUUUGUUGAUUCUUUUGUAAUUCCCCAUUGAGUUUUGAGGUUUUUUUCAAUAAAAGUUUCGAUUUUUAAUUAUGUAUAACAGUUGUUUUAAUAGUCUAAUCUCCUGGAAAACUGUUUUUUAUGAGAGGUUGUACUUGAACGCAUGAUUGAGAGUCUUCCUUAUCUUAAACUUUGGUUUCUUAGUUAGUACGUAUUGUUCUAAUUAAUUUAUUGGGCGCAUGAUUCAAGAGAGAGGUGGUAAGCAUUCCCAUGGAGUAUACGCAUGGAACAAAGUGGGUAUUGGUUAAACCAGUAGACACAUGCUUUACUGGUGAGUUUCAGUUGAAUCAGAUCGGCUCAUGUUCAAUCUGGUUUAACUCUGUUGAAGGAUUAAGAAAAGAUUAAUCUUUAGAGAACUUGUGAAGAAUUCAAUGGAGGAAGAACUUGGGAUCAACCGCUUUUUAUUUGUUGUUUCAAAUAUCUUUUACAUUGCAUACAUAACUAUCUUAACCCCUUUUUAUUAUUAUUGUUGUUGCUAACUUUUAUUGCUUGCAGGUAGAUUCUAAACACUGAUCUACUGAUUUUACUAUUGGAUUCAUUGGGAGACGACUUGGGGUCAUCUGACCACAAUUAUACUAUCAUCUCUAUAGUGUUAGACAAGUCUACGCUAGAAUCAUAUUAACUCUGUUGGAGGAUUAAGAAAAAAUUAAUCUUUAGAGAACUUGUGAAGAAUUCAAUGGUGGAAGAACUUGGGAUCAACCGCUUUUUAUUUGUUGUUUCAAAUAUCUUUUAUAUUGCAUACAUAACUAUCUUAACCCCCUUUUUAUUAUUAUUGUUGUUGCUAACUUUUAUUGCUUGCAGGUAGAUUCUAAACACUGAUCUACUGAUUUUACUAUUGGAUUCAUUGGGAGACGACUUGGGGUCAUCUGACCACAAUUAUAUUAUCAUCUCUCUAGUGUUAGACAAGUUUACGCUAGAAUCAUAUUAAUUUGACAGCAAAACGACAACUAUCAGCGAGCCUACCAUUCGAAGGAAACUGUUUGAUAUGUUAAACGAGCUCCGCGACAAGAGCAAAAUCCGUGAGACCACGUGCAAUCUUUAAGUGGCAAGGCAGUACAACAUAAAGGUCCGACCGAGUAGCUUUCAAAAGGGAGAUCUUGUAUGCAGAAUGAGAAGCGAAGCAAGGAAUAAUGAUGACAAGUUCUCAUCUAAUUGGGACGACCAUUUUCAGGUAUGAGAGGUUGCAGUUGGGGGGGCGUACCACUUAGAGUGGUUAUCAGAAAAAAUUGUACGAAGGACGUGGAAUGUCACACACCUCAAGUUUUAUUAUAGUUAAACAAGCAAUAAAACUUGUGCACUUUUACCUCACCCGACCUUUUUUCCCUAAGGAGGGUUUUUGGUGGGACAGGUUUUAACGAGAUAUUUAUCUUCCAUUCUGUGCAAUUUUAAGUCAAAUUCAUGCAUCUCUCAAUGCUCGGUUCAGUCAAGGAUGUAGCCCUAACCGGCAUACCUUAGCAAUACCUAAAAGACUUGGUUCAGUCAAUGAUGUAGCCCUAACUGGCAUAUCCUACCGAUGCCUAGAAAGCUCGGUUCGGUCAAGGAUGGAACCCUAACCGGCAUACCCUACCGAUACCUAUAAGACUUGGUUCGGUCAAGGAUAUAGCCCUAAUAGGCAUACCCUACCGAUACCUACAAGACUCAGUUCAGUUAAGGAUGUAGUUCUAACCGACAUACCCUGUUGACACCAUAAAGACUUGGUGCGGUCAAGGACACAACCUUAACUGGCAUACCCAACCGACACCUUGAAGUCUCGGUUCGGCCAAAGACGUAGCCCUAACUGGCAUACCCUGUCGAAACCAUAAAACAGUCACAAACAAACUUAGUCGAUAUUGUUGGGACCACUAUUUAUAGCUCGUGAGGGUCUCAAGAGACGAAUUGUCACAACCAUCCUAACCAUUAGAUCUCCUCGAUCCAACGGUCUUCGUCGAUUGACGCCUAAAAACUCUCAUUAAUGCAUGUCACAUCAUCCAUUAACGUGUCGUCAGACAUCACGUCAAGCCUCGAGAAGCCCAAUCGUCACGUCGUACCUUGGGAAGCUUGAUCGCCACAUAAUUCUCGACUCUUCGGAUUAAUCAUCUUCGAUCUUGGGGGCAAGUGUAUCGGUGAGGGUCGUACGACUGACCACAUGUCUCGAUCCUCAUCAUCAGGCCGACCGAGGAUAAGGUCCCCAUCAAUGGGCUGACCGACAACUCAAAUCCAAUUACACUUAAGUAGAGCCAGUGAAGUUAAUCCACGAUUAAGAGCUAGGUAAUGUAUUCCUAAACAUGGUCAAACUCUCUAAUCUGACCCAAUAAGAAAAAACCAUUAAAAUAAUAUCGAGCGUCAGAGUGUCUUUUACUGGUACGUCAUCGUAUACAAUGCUCUGACAACCAAGCGCUGAAUACCUUUACUGACUUGAGCAUCAAAGUCUCUUUUACAGGUACCAUCCGAGUCUGGACUACGAGAAAACCAAGAGGUAAGACGAGUGAGAAGGAGUAAGGAGUCUGUAAGGAGGAAAGUUGAAGUGUAAUCCGAGCGACCAACUAAGAGAGAGAAAAGUGAUCUCAAUAGUUCUUUAGACCUCAAUCUUAUUCAAAAACAAAAAUUAUUUUCUAUUGUUUCAAAAAUAUUUAUUCUUCAUCGCGUGCACUAAAGUACUAAUUUUUUCAGCUGGAAGUGUAAAAUAAAAAUUAAAACACGCUUAAAAAAAACUAUUUCUUACAGUUUAAAGUUUGUUUUAAAAACUCAAAAUUGUGUAAAUAAUAACUAAGCUCACUCAUAUUGUAUAGUUUUUAAAAAUUUUAACACACAAAAAUUGUCUUAAAAAGGAAUGUUAUAUUGUUAAAUGCUUUCAAAAUUUAAAUAAAACACUCCAUUCAAAAAAAUAUUUUUGACUGAAAUGAUUUUUUUUCUUUUAAAAUAAUAACUAAAACUUAAAAUAUAUAAUAAAGGAUUAUAAAUAAGUUAAAUUAAGCCCGUUUGUUUCCUUUAUUUUACUGUUUUGUUGUCCAAGUUUGGUCAAUUUAUAAGUGAAAAUAUUUAAACUUAAAAAUAAUGAUUUUAAAUAAAAAAAAAUUAAGAAAGUAAGAUUUAUUAAAAUAAACUGGGAAUUACUUAUUUAUCAAAUCCAUACAAAAGUAUUUAUUUUACUAACACUUUACCAAAUAUGUUAUCAAUUUCUCAAUGUAAUUCAAAAGACUGGUGCAUUUACAAAUACCAAAGUUAUCAUUAAACAUGUUAAUAAGUACUAUUGAAGAAACCAAUAUACUUAUAAGUUAACUUUGAUCGAAUUAAGUAUUGACUAAUGGAAAUAAAAGUAACAUACUUCUAUUAGAGAAUCAGGGUUUGCCCGGGAAAUAGGAAUGAAAUAGAGGAAAUAAAAAUAAAUGAGAUUCAAAAAAGAUAAAAGAAGAAGAUUAAAUAAUAAAUAAAAUGAAAAUAAAAUAGUUUACCAGACAGAAAUGCAUUAUAAAUAGACUGAAAACAAAAAUAAAGAAAAUAAAUGGAAAAAGCAUUUAAUUUUAAAAACAUUAUUAGUAUUAUUGUUUCUUCAUUUGAUUAUUAUAAUUUUUUGCUAUUGAUAUUUAUUUUGUUACUUUUUUAAGGAAAUUUAUUGUUAUUGUUAAUAUUACAUACAUAUUAGUCAAAAUUGAGAGAUUAAUUACGAUGAUAAUACUACAAGAAAAAAGUUUUUUCCAUAGGUUUUAAAAAAAUUAAAGCAUUUUUGGAAGAUUUUGAAUUUUAAGUUUACGGAAUAAGUAUUCUAUAAUAUCAUUUAAAUUAUUUCAGAAACAUUAUUUUACAAUAAAAAUAUUGUAAAAUAGUUAACAAUAAUUAAAAACCAAUAAUAAAUAAUACAUUUAGGAUGUUAUUUGAUUUUUUUAAAAUAUAUUUUUUAAUAAUUUUAAUAAACGCGUAGUUCAUAAAUUUGUUAGUGUAUUAUACAUUUCACUUGAAAGAAUAUUGAAAAUAUUAUAAUGCAGGAAUUGAUUGCCCUAGUUUUGGCGCACUACGUGGCUGGAAUUUUUGUCAUUUUGUGUAAGAAAACUGUGAGGAAAGUAGAUUUGUAAAAUGACGAAUUUAACCUUAUGUUUUAACUUUUCACUGGGUUGAAAAAACAAAUCUCAACCUGCAUAUCUUAAUUUUAUAACUUCUUCAAAUUUAGUCUUCAUCAUUCAUUAAAACCAGGAGCUCUUUGUAUAUUUUCAUCAACUUUAUUUUUUAUCUGUUUUUCCCAAAUCAAAUAACUAAACAUUCUUUCUUUUUUGUUUUACUUAUCUUUUAUCAUACCUUUUCUCUUUUAUUUCCCUUCACUAAACCAAACAAGUAAUGGUGGCAUCACAAACAUGUUAUAUUUUAUUAAUAUUAAAAUUAGUAUAAUUCAAAUAUAUAUGUUUUGUUUGAAUUAUAUGUUAAUUGAAUGGUGAAAAGUAAAUGAGUCAUUUUUUUUAAAAAUAGAAAUUAAAAUCAUUUUGAAUCAAAGAAAAAUGUAAAAAAAUGAAAUGUAGUAUUUAUUAUCAAUGAUUUAUUUAAUUUUAUUAAUUAUUUUAAUAAGUCAUUUUACUAAAAAUAUAAAUAUUAACAAAAUUAACAAUAUAGUAGACCAUGUCUUUGUUUAUGUUAAAACAUAAUUAAUUAUAAAUAUACGUAAAUGUUAAUAAAAAUAGAUUUUUUAAAACAUAAUGAAUUAUAAAAUAUAUGCAAAUAUUAAUAAAAUACUUUUACAUGAUUAAUUUUAUCAUAAACAGUUUACAAUGAUUAUGUAUCAAAUGAUCAUUCCACUAAAAAAGAAAAAGUCCUUUAAAUAAUAUCAUUGUUGAUUUAGAAAGAAAAAGUCUUUCCUCUGACAAAUCCUAUAUAAAAAUCAUAACCAUUCUUUGAAAAUUAUAGAGAAAAAUAUAAACGAGAACUAAGUUUUUCUCACAAGUCAAAGCUUUGUGAAAAUUGCCGGUCAUAGUCCUUUAGUGUGGCUCAUAUAAUUAAACUUCCAAUGGCAAAAACAAAAUUGAUAAAAUAAAUCAAGCAUAAACAUGUGAGUGCGUCAAACAUUUGAAUACUCCUAUUAUAUUUUAUAGUUAAAGUGGGGUGGAUUGAGGAGAGAGAGUGUGCGGAAGGUACAAGUUAGGAUGAAACCAUAAGUUCAAAAUUAUUUAUUGGAACACCAGGAGCCAUUCGAAAGGGCAAUUGGUCCAACGUAAAAACAGUAACUUACAAACCAAACAUGAGUUUCUCACAAACAGUUUUCUCUCGGGUACAGAUGAAGCAACAGAUAAAAAAUUAAAGGGGAGCCGAAGCCCCCAUAAAAAGAGUACAUAGAACAUUCAGAAACUGUGAUAAGGUAAUGUAUCGACACAAUUUCCAUCAAACAUGGGCACUUCUUAUCAAGGUAAAAUAAUACCAUGAAUUUGCUUAUUGUAAAGUAGUUUGGCUGCCAAGAAAUAAGCUAGUCGACCUCACUUUGUCCACCAAUGGAGGAAGUCUUUGCGCCUACUGAUCUUUUUCUGCAGCUGGAGGAGUCCAUACAACAAAGCCUCAGCAGUUGGAGGACAGCCUGGAAUAUAUAUGUCAACGGGAACAAUCCUGUCACAUCCUCGAACCACGGAGUAAGAGUAGUGGUAGUAACCUCCGCCGUUAGCACAACUUCCCAUUGAAAUGACCCAUCUAGGUUCAGGCAUCUGGUCAUAAACCCUGCAAAAAAUUUCGGCGUUACAUAAUGUUCAAAAACAGAACUUGCGUGGGGAGACAUUGGGGAAAACUUAUCCAGAGUUUACUUGAGCAAAUGAAAACAACUUGUAACUCCCAUAAACUUCUUUUUUAAGCUUAUACCAAGCAGUUAUGAAAAAUAUGACAUAAGUUCUCAUGUAGUGUUUGAAACAGGAAGUCUUGAUCCUUUUCAUUCAUGGAGGAAAUGUUUCACGAUUCUUACUUUCAUUGUCUGAUCAGGAUUGCAAUCAUCUCAUGCAGACAGACUCCCAAAUACACUCAUCCUGGUCAGAAGAUGUGUUAGUAACUGGAAAAUUAGCAUCUCUUGCGUUUCAAUUACUUAAAAUAUAUUGGCUGCAAGAGACUCUGGCCCAAGUGAUGCCUAUUUUGGAAGUGGCUAUUUCGGCUCUAGCUUAGGCUUCUAGUUCCUAAAAAAAUUCCCAGCUUUGGAAAAACAAAAAAAAAAUCCUCGUUGAUAAAAGCUUAUAGAAUUAGUGUUCAAUUAAGCUGCUUGGGGAAACUCAUCAUGACAUACUAAUAGAUAAUGACAAGCAACCAAGAAUAUGUAUUAUAACAUAGUAUAAAGGUUAUCAAGUGAAACUGGCAUACUCUAGUACACCUUUUCCAAAACAACUAAAGCAACUUAAAACCAUUUUUAUACUUUAUAGUAACAUGCCAUGACUCGUCCUGUUCACACCUCUCACUCAAUGCAAGACAACCAUUAUCCCCAUCAACUCCACUAGUCUAACUCGGCUAGAUUCCAGCCUUAGAAAUAAACUAAGGUUGACCAUCUACUGAACAGGUCUAGCUCAGCUAGAUUCCAACCUUAGAAUAAACUAAGGUUGACCAUCGACUGAACGAGUCUAGCUUGGUUAGAUUCCAUCCUUAGAAAUAAACUAAGGUUGACCAUUGACUGAACGGGUCUACCUCGGCUAGAUUCCAGUCUUAGAAAUAAACUAAAGUUGACCAUCGACUGAACGGGUCUAGCUCAGCUAGAUUCCAGUCUUAGAAAUAAACUAAGGUUGACCAUCGAUUGAACAGGUCUGGCUCAGCUAGAUUCCAACUUAGAAAUAAACAAAGGUUGAUCAUCGAUUGAAUGGGUCUAACUCAAUUAGAUUCCAUCCUUAGAAAUAAACUAAGAUUGAUCAUCGACUGAACGGGUCUAGCUCAGCAAGAUUCCAGCCUUAAAAAUAAACUAAGAUUGACCAUCGACUGAACUGGUCAAGCUCGGCUAGAUUCCAACCUUAGAAGUAAACUAAGGCUGACCACAAACUGAGUAAAUCGAUUAAAACUCGACCAUGGAAGCAACGAAACAAUGAACGUCAAGCAACUAAAUGAUCAAAAUGAACUACGCGAAAGCUAAAGGCUGAUUUAUCAAGGUACUAAUCUUUCCCUAUAUUUUUAGGCAUCAAAUUUCAAUAUUUUCACGUGCCUAAAAGGAACUUAACAUUUUUUUUAGUGUUGUAUCUGCCAAAAUCUAAUGUUUUCGUACACAACCAUAAACAAAUUAUGCACAACUUACAUCGUGAUUUAUUUCUUGGUUUUUUGGUGUAUAAACCUCUUCGCCUUGUUUAUUCGGCUUGCGGCUGGGAGGCUGUCGUUAUCUCCUAUUAAAAGGGAAUAUAAUUAACUUACAUCGUGAUUUAUUUUUGAGUUUUUCUUAGGAUAAACAUCUUCGCCUACUUGGCUGGGGGCUGUGUACUGAUAUCUCCAAUUAAAAGGAAAUAUAAUUUAUCUAAAGAGUUUCUUAUAGGGCCUAUUGAAUAAAAUUUCCUAGAAUCUUAGCAAAAAUAAAGGAAUAUCUUUUUGUGGUACUUGAAAUAAGGUUGAGGAGAAUUUUAAGGCUUAAAUAAUAUUAGUUAAGAUUUAGAAGAUAAGAGAUAACACUGUAUUUUUUUGUGGUACUUGAAAUCAGUUGAAGAGGCUUAAAUAAUAUUAGUUAAGCAUUAAAUAAUAUUAGUUAAGGAUUAAAUUAUAUUACUUGAAAUUUAGAAGAUAAUUGAUAACUAACCAGGACUUAUAAAUAAGUCUGUCAUGAUGAUGAUGAACAAUAGAACUCAACUUGUAUGCUAUGAUUUGAGGUCAUUUAAACUUUGGACCAUAACACAUGGCAUGACUCAGACUGUUCACACCUCUCACCCAAUGCAAGACAACCAUUAUCCCCACAAGAACCUCUUUUGACAAGCAAUAUCGUUCAAUCAAAGUGAUUUCUAUAACAACAUUUAAUCACGACGAGAAGAGUCUAUUAGCCACGACCUAUUAAUUAGGUGUAUGUGAGGAAGAAAGGCAAGGGUAGCAAGGAAUUAGAAGCAAGUGAAAGCAAUGGGGCAAAUAAAUGUAAAUGGGAAAUCACUCUGGGGAUAUGGAUUAUAAGUUUGCAACAACCAAUAACCUGCGCACAUGCCAGGUGAAGGCAGGAAUCAAGUGAGGAUUGGGAAGGUAGAAAGCAAGUCCCUUAAAGAGCCUACAGACUACAGCUAGUGUAUCCUGGUACCAGAUUUCUAACACUAAGCUAAAAAAAACUAAGGUUACAACACCAAAACAAGAGUCAAUUAAAACAGACAAAACACAUCAUCAUUGGCCAGAUUAAAUCUCCCCGAAAUCCAAUUUAGUCACAGAAAUCCUAAAAUAAAGGACUUCUUGAAAACCGAACACAAAUUAUCUUUAAAACUCUCCAACAUAUAUAUAACAGCAUUCAAACAAAGACGCGAAAGCAUAGACACCAUAUCAAGUCAAAUUGAAUACUCAACCAUGCAAUAUGUCAGACACAAAGCAAAUCAGUGCAUCAGGCAAGGCAUAUGAUAUGAUUUCUAAUCUAGUGGGGAGAGCAACAAAGUGGAAAAUAGAUUAGGGGAAGUAAAAACCCUAGAAAAAGGGAUAGAGGACUUACUUUCGAAGAGCGGGAGCCAUCUUGUUGGUGAGAGUGCCUGCGACGAUCAUGCAGUCAGACUGGCGAGGGCUGGGCCUGAAAAUGAUGCCGAAGCGAUCGAGAUCAUAGCGGGCGGCGCCGG
rnacentral:lncRNA from 1 species